rnacentral:sRNA from 1 species
UUGUAAAGUCGCGACAAUGCCCCGAAUCCAGAAGGGUUUGCACAAGAUAUUUAGGCCAAUCGAUAGGAACGAUAGUGCAUUUCCCAUUGUGCUCUAUUUUCAGCACUAACGUCAGUGGUUUCGGUCGAUGACCCGGCUCAAGGCCAUUGCUAAUGCGAACAUACACUCGCGGCGGACUUUCUCGUAUAUGCAGGCUAUUAUACUACAAGCCAAACCAUGCCCACCGCCGAAGCUUUUCGAGUAUUACCUGCGAACCUAACACAUAUCGGCCAUUGAACUUGACAAUGGUGGUACAUGCACGCCCCCAAGAAAGCUCGUCCACGGUAUAGCACGAUCGGAUCUAACCCGUUCUAGCGGCACACAUCCGAGUGCACUUCCGAGCUUUUCGCCCCUGAGACCCACCAAUGCCAAUUCGUGGAAGUUUGCAGACAGGAGCUUUCGACGACUAAGGUUUAGCUUUCGUUUCAUUGUCAUUGAAAGCGAACUUUGACGGAGGUCGUUGAACUGACACAAUUUCGAAAGAAGUUGCCCAACUGCCCGAGAGACCCAAAACAUCACAGUUUUCACUU